rnacentral:rRNA from 1 species
UACGGAGGGUGCGAGCGUUGUCCGGAAUCAUUGGGCGUAAGGGGCGCGUAGGUGGCCUGCUAAGCGUGCGGUGAAAGCUCGGGGCUCAACCCCGAGUCGGCCGUGCGAACUGGUGGGCUUGAGCACUGUAGAGGCAGGCGGAAUUCCGGGUGUAGCGGUGGAAUGCGUAGAGAUCCGGAAGAACACCGGUGGCGAAGGCGGCCUGCUGGGCAGUAGCUGACACUGAGGCGCGACAGCGUGGGGAGCAAACAGG